CAGUGCUGCGGCUCUCAGAGCGAUACAAUCUGAACUACUCGAAAGAUGAACAACUCAGACCCUCAGUCCGUGCAUCCCUUCACUGGCCAUAAUACUGAAAAGAUGAAAGAAAGAAGUCCUUUGAAUCAGGUAGUGACUUUUAAACCGUCCAGCAUGCAGAGAGUCGUCCAGGUGAUGCACAGAAUGGCUGAGAAGAGCUACCUUAGAGCCUGUCGGCUCUUCUGCCUGCCUUUAGAACCGAUGCUGUGUGAAAAAGCCACAUGCUGUUCAGCUCCAAGCCAUCAGCCCGAGGAGGAUACAAAUGCACAAGUUGCACUCCGCAGUCCACCGUCCACCAUUUUGAUCGUCAACAUCAGCAACUCCACCUUAAUCGACUGUGUCAUCGGAAACGAGAGCUACCCGUCCACUGUGACAGAACGUCAGCCUCUGAUGCAGGAAUCUGAGCUC